UAUUUUAUAAUAAGAUAAUAAUUAUAUCAUUAUAUUAAAUACCUAGGAAUGGAAUUGCUGGGUCAAAAGGUAACAUGGUGUUUAAUAAUUUAAAGAAAUGCCAAACUUGCCAAACUGUUUCCUAAUGUGGUUGCAUUAGUUCACAUUCUUACUUGUAAUAUGUAAGGAUUAAAUAGUUUGUACACAGCUGUCAACACUUCUUUCUUUCUUUCUCUCUUUCUUUAUUUUAAUUACAGUCAUUCAUCCUGUUGAUGGUGCCUCAAAUAUAUUUCUGUCAGAUACUUCAUGCUAUGUAGCAAAAAGUUGAAUGAAAAAAUUGCAAAACCAAUUUUCAUUACAAAACCAAUCAGGUGCACCACCACUACUUUGCUACUUCUACCUGACAGUUGGAAGGAACACCUGGCAACACAUUCCAAACGCAUAUUGGCAGGACUCUGGACCAAUGGGCAGGCCGCAUUGCCUUCCCCGGGCCCACAGCUGCCACGUGGGAGACUCCGGACCCAGGAAGGGGCGGGCAGAGGGGAGGCGUUAGGCAGCCCCACCAACAAGCCUCCCAGCCUCCCACCUAAGACCAUUCUUCAGCACCCACAGCCAGGUGUGCACUAGCCCUUCCUACUGCCAAGAUGUCCCUUUCUAAGAAGCUGACUUUGGACAAACUGGAUGUCAAAGGCAAGCGCGUCAUCAUGAGAGUGGACUUCAACGUUCCCAUGAAGAAGAACCAGAUUACCAACAACCAGAGAAUCAAGGCCGCCGUCCCCAGCAUCAAGUUCUGCCUGGACAAUGGAGCCCAGUCGGUGGUGCUGAUGAGCCACCUGGGCCGGCCCGAUGGCGUCCCCAUGCCCGAGAAGUACUCCCUGGAGCCUGUCGCUGGCGAGCUGAAAUCCUUGCUGGGCAGGGACGUGACUUUCCUCAAGGACUGUGUGGGCCCAGAAGUGGAGAAGGCCUGCGCCAGCCCCGAAGCCGGCUCAGUGAUCCUGCUGGAGAACCUGCGCUUUCACCUGGAGGAGGAAGGCAAGGGCCAGGAUGCCUCUGGGAACAAGGUGAAGGCAGAGCCCGAGAAGGUGGAAGCCUUUCGCCAGUCACUGUCCAAGCUAGGGGACGUGUAUGUCAAUGAUGCUUUUGGCACUGCACACAGGGCUCACAGCUCCAUGGUGGGAGUGAAUCUGCCCCAGAAAGCAGCCGGGGUCCUCAUGAAGAAGGAGCUGGAGUACUUUGCCAAAGCCUUGGAAAACCCAGAGAGACCCUUUCUGGCUAUCCUGGGUGGAGCCAAAGUGGCAGACAAGAUCCAGCUCAUCAAAAAUAUGCUGGACAAGGUCAACCAGAUGAUCAUCGGGGGCGGGAUGGCCUUUACCUUCCUGAAGGUACUGCACAACAUGGAGAUUGGUGCCUCCCUCUUCGAGGAACAGGGAGCCAAGAUUGUCAAGGAGAUCAUGGCCAAAGCAGAAAAGAAUGGUGUGAAGAUUACCUUUCCCGUGGACUUUAUCACGACUGACAAGUUCGAUGAGCAUGCCAACACUGGAAGUGCCACCGUAGAAUCUGGCAUCCCCGAUGGCUGGAUGGGUUUGGACUGUGGCCCUGAGAGCAUUAAAAAGAAUGCUCAAGUUGUGUCUAAAGCCAAGCUCAUCAUUUGGAAUGGUCCUUUGGGAGUCUUUGAAUGGGAAGACUUUGCCAAGGGAACCAAGGCCCUCAUGGAUGAAAUCGUGAAAGCCACCUCCCAGGGUAGUGUCACCAUUAUAGGGGGCGGGGACACUGCUACUUGCUGUGCCAAAUGGAACACUGAAGACAAAGUCAGCCAUGUGAGCACUGGAGGGGGUGCCAGUCUGGAGCUCCUGGAAGGUAAAAGCCUCCCAGGAGUAGAGGCCCUCAGCAAUGUGUAACUGACAGAGUCCCCUCCUCCUGUUUUCUGUCCUCAGCCUUUAGGUUAACUCAGUGCUCUAACAUCUCAGCUUGACUUUGGUUAAAAACUACCAGAUAACAAGACCCAGGAAAUGGGAAGGCAGUGUGUUAUCCACUUCUCCUUACAUCAGUGAAAGCACUUGUUCACUUUAGCUGUGUCAUGCCUUUGCCUACCCUCUUCAAGAUCUCCUUUGGACCUGUGAACUUCACUGCUGUGCCUCAUAGGGAGGAUAUAUUCUUAAGGUGCCCAUUAAAGCUUCUUUGCUAGGACUACCUUGCACUUCUUUAAGGAUGAGAAGCUGUGGCCAUCUGAUAAGCAGGCAGGAGAGCCUGUGAUGAAUCCAGAGCAGACAGUUUAUCUUUAGACCACACAAGCUUUGAGAAGUCAGGCUAUACUUUGAAGCCAUCUUAAGGUAACAGCAUACUGACUCAAAUGAAAUCAUGGAUGGAGCUGUCCUGCUGCCGCCAGUCAUACAAGAGGAAGUCUGACGUGAGUUCAAGAACUAAAACAUCUAAAGGAGAGAGAGUAUGUCCCAAUUUGCUCUGGACUAACAACUGAGACUGAGACAUCCCAUGUUCAAGAUUGUUUCUUUAUGGUCUGUUCGGUUACCACUAGGGAGCGCCAUCUCAUGGGAAACUUUUGGAAUAUAAACUGACCAAGGGAAGAAAACACUGGAGUUAACACAGACUCAAUUGGAUAUUGAAGAGUACUGAGAAUUUCAGAUCUUGAUGUUCUGUGAAGAAUGCUUUCAGUUUUUCUCCAUUCAGUAUGAUGUUGGCCUUGGGUUUGUCAUAUAUAACCCUCACAACAUAGAGGUAAGUUCCUUCUAUCCCUAGUUUCUCUAGUGUUUUAAAAAUGAAUGGGUGCCGGACUUAGUCAACAGCUUUUUCUGUAUUUAGGGAUUCUCAUCCUUAAAUUUAUUUAUGUGGUAAGUUACAUUUAUUGAUUUGCAUAUAUUAAAACAACUUUGAAUCUCUGGUUUGAAACCCAGCUGAUCAUAGUGCACUAUUUUCUUAAUGUGUUUUUAAAUGUAGUUUGCUAAUAUUUUAUUAAAAAAUUUUACACCUAUGUUCAUUAGGGAUAUUGGUUUGUAGUUUUCUUUCCUUGAUGUGUCUUUGUCUGAUUUGGGUGCCAGAGUGAUACUGGCUUCAUAGGAUAAAUUUUGGAGUCUUCCCUUAUUUUCUAUUUCAUGGGAUAAUUUGAGGAAGAUUGUUGUUUAGUUCUUUAGAGGCCGGGUUAAACUUGACUGAGAACUCCUGGUUGUGAUCGUGAGCUUUUAUUUGCUGGAAUGCUUUUAAUUGCUGCUUUAAUCUUAUUGAUAUUAGUCUGUUUAGGUUUUAUAUACCCUCAUGGCUCAAUUUGUGUAGUUCUUAUUUGUAGAAAUUAAUCAAUAUCUUCUAGGUUUUCUAGUGUGUUUCAGUACAAUUUUUCAAAAUAGUUUCUAAUGAUCCUUUGGAUUUCAGAAAUGUCUGGGAUGAUAUUUCCUUUUUCAUCCCUAAUUUUGUUUAUGUGGGUAUGUGGGGAUGUGUAUGUCUGUCUGUCUGUCUCUCUCUCUCUCUCUCUCGGUUAGUUUGGCUGAGCAUUAUCAAUCUUGUUUCAAAGAACCAAGUCUUUGUUGCAUUGAUCCUUUGUAUUGUUUUUCUAGUCUCAAUUUCAUUAGUUUAGAUUCAUGUCAUCUUAAUUAUUUCCUGUCUUCUACUGAAGCAGUUUGUUCUUCCUUUUAAUCAUUGAAGUAUUAUUGAAGUGCUUUAAGGAUCAAGUCACAUUCAAUCAACAUGAGAGAAUUAAAAAGGAACCUUCUUCUUGCAAGGUCAAAAAAUCAAUUACUGAUAAAACUCAUAUGUUUUAUAUUUUUAGUGUUCUGUUGAGAGAAGUUCUUUAGUAAGCAUGUAAAAUAAUACUAAUAGCAAUGACAAAAAUCAUAAGAGCAGUUUUCAUAUAGUAAGAAAUACUUUAUGAUGGGCAUUGUUAAAAUUCUGUGCAUGUUAAGAAAGUUAACUUAAUUAUCACAAUCACCCUCUGAAAUAUGUGCUGUAAUUAUCCUCAUUUAUAGAUGAGAAAACUAUAGCAGAGUUAGGAAAUGAUGAAACAAGUAUGAAGAGGUUAAGUUAGACAUAGCACAUAGGACUACACUUAAAUAUUUUUGUUUCCUAUAGAAAAAAAAGGUAUUUGAAUAUCCAUAAAAUACUCAACUUGUGAUAAUUGUCAUUCACCUAAUAUUAUUGGCAUUUCAUCUAGAACAUGUAUUGCUAGCAAUCUAAAGUUUAAGUCAGGUGAAUCCAACGUAUCAUACAGGACAAACCAUUAUACUUGUGAAUAAGAUCGUAGCUCUAAUUUAUCCUAUAUUAUUAGCUAUAUUGACCUUUCUAACCCAAUAAUAUUUUUCUAUUACUAAGGUAAAAGUGUUCAAAUGUGCAACAUAUGUGAAGUUACUUUCUAAACUCUAAAAUGUUAAGCAAUUGUUAGUAGCAUUCAUUUUUAUCUUUCUCAUCUCAUCCACACAUAUAUUUAUAGUACUUUCAGCAUCUAUAAAUUUCUGCAAAUAAAAUAUGCUAAUGAUAGACUCAUUUAGUCACUUAUUCAACAACUAUACAUGAAUAACUUUAAUAUUCAACAAAAUCUAGGGGAACCUGAACAAGUCUACAAUAUGGAAAAAUUUAGAGGAAGCUAAAUAGAUAUAACAAAGCUCACUAUCAAGCCAUGGGAGAAGGAUGGAACAAACUAGGCAGAGUCCAGAAUAUAUGAAGUUCCUGGAGGGAGAAUGAACUGAGAAAUGUUAAGAAAUACUAUGUUUGGAACAUUGUCAUCAGGGAAUAGGAGAAUUAUAAUUUUUCCUAAGAAAUACAAUAUACUGUGAAUAGUAGAGUAAAUAGGAGAAAAGUCUACAAUAUAGAUGAUGUGUUGGAUGAGUUGAAGGCUGGCUCUUAACAAAUCUUGAAAAUCAUCCAUCUAGAAAUAAAGCUGUCCUUUCAAGAGUUUUCCUGGGCUGAGGGAUCCCUUCAAGAAGUAGUAGCAUGUGAAUACAUAACCAACAACAUUUAAACCAAUCGAAGACAAAGGAUUGUUUUGAAACCUAGAGGACGGCAUGCAGUCAUUGUACCUAAAAAUUUCCUCAGUGGCAGAAUUUAUUUUACUUUACUUUAUGAAUAAAAAAAAAUUGCCAAGGACAAUAUUGCUUGAGUAAAUGACAUGAUCCAACAUCAUAAAAUGUGAUGAAGAUGUACAAAUCUAUAAUUGUAAAAUUUGUUUUGUAAACCUAGGAAUGUGAAAGAUUUUGCUUUGGGCUUAAGACUACAAUGAAAGAAUUAUGAAUUACCUUCAUUUGUGAUUAACUUGGAAUAAAUGUGAAAAUCCUAACCUGGAAUUUAAUAACCUAAUGAAGGUUAGAUUUUUUUCCCAUCUGACUGUGAGUAUUCCAAAGAUUAUUACUAACCUUUCAAAGUUAGAAAGACAACUACAGUAUGUCUCCAAAUAAAAGGCAAAUGAGAUAUAUUCUUGAUUGAGGGUUUAGAAAUAGUUUCACAGCCUGAAAGAUUGGCUUUUAUUGGGUUCAAACAGAUCUUUGUACACCAGUGAAUUAUUAUAUAAAUAUAAAAAUGUCAUAUGUCAAUGAGUGAGAUAUCACAGCCAACUGUAGCAACAUCCAGAUAAAUCACUAAAUGGAUUUCUUUAUUCCUUGCACCUUAUUUUGAAGGGAGUUAACCUUUGGCAAAAACCACCUGCUUAAGAGACAAUGAAUAAGGAGGCCAAAGAAGUCAUCAGUUGACCUUUGAGAGAACAAGAAGAGCUGAGGGAAGGUACAUGUACAAGAGGAUUAGUAAGUCCUCACCAUGAAUUUGCAUCAUUCUGUGGUAUAGAUGGUGAUAUUGUGUGGAGUUGGGUCUAAGCCCAGUGAAGAACAAGGUGUCAAUUGUUAUGUAUCCAUGGUCAUUAUAAAUGAAUACAACCUGUGAGUUACUGAUUUCAGAAGUGUAGCUGUAAAUUCACCAAAUUAAUAUUUUUUAAAAAGCCAUAAGAAAAAUAUUCUUCCUUUUGUCUCUUUCACUCAUUUACUUACCCAAUAUUGUCAUACUCCAACCAUGGAUGUCCUCAAUUUUCUUCAUGUAUUUGCUUCAAUUAUUGCCUUCAAUGGGAAUGUAAAUCAGCCUCAUCUCCAUUGUUCCAUGUCCAUUAUUUCCUUCAAAGUCAGUUCAAAAUAUAUUACAUUCAUGAAGCUCGUCUGACCAUCUUAACCAACUGUUUGUUUAUAGUUCAUGAAUUUCAAAUAAAUAUUUUUUAUUCAUAAACUCAAUAUGCAUUCAGGAAAAGUAUUAAGAACUGGAAAUAAAUGUACAUAAAAACAAAUGGGUCCAAGGGUCAAGAAUAUUAAUGUUUAGAAGGGAAAUAUACAUAAGAUAAACAGCCAUAUUCAGGAAAUUAUUGAGGUAGAAAUGUGUACCAAAAAGUCACGAGCAUAGAAAAAAAGCACUCAAAUAUUCCUAAGAAACUAAGUAAGACUAUCAUGAAAAAAUAUUAAUUAUAUUAUAAACAAUAUGUAGGAGUUUAGAAGGAAUAAAAUAGGGAAAAGAGAGUGAUCCAUGGAGCAGGAAAAACAGUGAGGAGGCAUGGAUGAGAAACUGGGAGGGGUUGGACCAUAGGAUCUCUGUGGGGAGAAUAUAGAGCAUGAAGCAUUUUCUUAAUCCAGAAAGGAGAGUUAUUUUCAAGGAUCAUGAUCAAAAUAUUUAUAACCAGUACAACACAAGACUUAUGGUUAGAAUAUUUACUUAUGAUUAGAAUAUUUAAGUCAUAGCACUGGAGUUACGUUAAAGAGGGAACAGCUGCACCAAGUUUAGAAUUUUCUCCAGUUGAGGGGAAGUCCACGUGGGCCUUGAAGGCAGGAAUCCAGGGUUCUAAAGCAGAGCAAAAGGAAUUACAGGAGUAAGAACAGUGGAAAUUUGAGAACUGAUAUUUUUAACUAAUGAUGCAUAAUAUUAAUAUGAAUAAUAAAAUAUAAAAUGUGAUAGACAAAGGAGCUGGAUAGAGGAAAAUAAGAACAUAGUGUCACUGACUGAAAGUAUGAAGAAAGCUUUUUCUAGUGCUCUCAGGCAGUCUCAAAGUUUUAAAUAACUUUGGAGAUCUCCUGCAAACUCUUCAUUGCUAUAGUCUAAUGUUCACUAUCUUAACAUGAAAUUCCAAUUAAGAUGACUAGGAGUUAAUUAGAUCUAACAAGGAUGUGAUAGGGAUAAAAAGGAAAAGAUCUUUUCAGGAAAAAGUGACUGGGCAAAGGCUCUCCAGUUAGGAUUCGCAUUAUUUAAUAUAAACAAAGGGAAUUAUCCCUUGGAAAAAAUAUUAAUCUCCGGAAAAUUUGCCUUUGAUGAAUAAUUUUUCCUUUAAGGAAAAUAUUAAAUAUUUGUAAAUAUUACUGUAAAUGGAAAAGUUUCUUGUUUAUAACAUUUUUCAGAGGAGUGUAUGUUAUUUGAUUUUAAACAGUUUUUAUAAAACACCAGUUUUCAAACAUUUUUUUCUUUGACAAUAAUUUAGGCAAUUAGUUAUUUUCUUUAUUGGUAAAUGACUUAACUAGUUAAAGUCAAAGGACAAGCAUAGAUAUUAAACCAACAGUUUGUACCAUCCCCCAUUCAAUGUAUCUUUGCCAUUCACACUACAUGGCUACUGCCAAUGGAAUUUUAACAGUCUUUCUGUCUCACAGGAAUUUCAAAAGUAAGGAAUUUGCAGUUUCAAUAAGUUAAUGUGUGAGUUACUGUACAGGCCCACUUAGAUUUUCUGAGAUUUCCUAACAACUCAUUAUUA